UACGUAGGGUGCGAGCGUUAAUCGGAAUUACUGGGCGUAAAGCGUGCGCAGGCGGUUCGUUGUGUCGGUGGUGAAAGCCCCGGGCUCAACCUGGGAAUGGCCAUGGAAACUGGCGAACUGGAGUGUGGCAGAGGGGGGUGGAAUUCCGCGUGUAGCAGUGAAAUGCGUAGAGAUGCGGAGGAACACCGAUGGCGAAGGCAAUCCCCUGGACCUGUACUGACGCUCAUGCACGAAAGCGUGGGGAGCAAACAGG
rnacentral:rRNA from 1 species